UCCUUAUGUUUCCUGUUUGUGACUUCAGUGUUACUUUAGUUUAACAAGGUUUGGUAUUAUUAAUAAAGUUGUUUUAAAAACAAUUACUGUGCAGAAAGUUAUUUUUGUAAAUUAUUAUUAACCCAUAGAAGUCACUAUAAUGUGAAUAUCCCUAAGUGUAGAUUUACUCCAGUGGUUAUUUUAAUUCCUCGUAAUAAGCAAACAAGUUACAAUGGGCUUGAGGAAGCUAUGAAGGCCGUUUUACUCGAUUGUGUUUAUAAAAGAACGAUGGUGAUGAAGAAUGAACGAUGGUGAUGACGUCGAAAAGCAAGAUGUCUCGAUAAGAAAUUUACUCUCACACUUCAGUCGGUGGUAGGAAAAGUUUAUCGAACAAAGUCUAGGCGGAAUAUCUUUCUGCCUGAUAGAAUGA
rnacentral:lncRNA from 1 species